rnacentral:misc_RNA from 1 species
UACGGAGGGUGCAAACGUUGCUCGGAAUCAUUGGGCGUAAAGCGCGCGUAGGCGGCUUGGCAAGUUGGGUGUGAAAGCCCUGGGCUCAACCCAGGAAGUGCAUCCAAAACUGCCUAGCUUGAGUUCCGGAGGGGUCCAGAGAAUUCCCGGUGUAGAGGUGAAAUUCGUAGAUAUCGGGAGGAAUAUCGGUGGCGAAGGCGCUGGACUGGACGGAUACUGACGCUGAGGUGCGAAAGCGUGGGGAGCAAACAGG